GUUGCUGUAAAGUGUCCGAAACGUCGGUCACGUAAAAAACCUAAUAAACCGCGAUUAAAUCCGAAAGAGUUGUAUCAAUAUUACAAGAACACAAUACUG